AAGUGGCUAACUCAGUUGGUAGAACAUAGGACUCUUGAUCUCAGGCUUGUGGGAUUGAGCCCCACGCUGGGUG